rnacentral:rRNA from 1 species
CCUACGGGGGGCUGCAGUGAGGAAUAUUGGUCAAUGGCCGGAAGGCUGAACCAGCCAUGCCGCGUGAAGGUCAGUGCCCUAUGGGCGUUAAACUUCUUUUGUGCGGGAGCAAUAAUGGUCACGUGUGGCCAGACGAGAGUACCGUACGAAUAAGCAUCGGCUAACUCCGUGCCAGCAGCCGCGGUAAUACGGGGGAUGCAAGCGUUAUCCGGAUUUAUUGGGUUUAAAGGGUGCGUAGGCUGUGAGGUAAGUCAGCGGUGAAAUGCCCCCGCUCAACGGGGUGAAGUGCCAUUGAUACUGCCUGGCUGGAAGGCGGAUGCCGUGGGAGGAAUGUGUGGUGUAGCGGUGAAAUGCAUAGAUAUCACACAGAACACCGACUGCGAAGGCAUCUCACGAAGCCGCGAUUGACGCUGAUGCACGAAAGCGUGGGUAUCAAACAGGAUUAGAUACCCUGGUAGUC